GCCCCAGUGGCGCAAUGGAUAGCGCGCGUCGGACUUCUAAUCCGGAGGUUGAGGGUUCGAGUCCCUCCUGGGGUG
rnacentral:tRNA from 1 species